GUUGGGUAGGGGAGCGUUCUGUAAGCCUGUGAAGGUGGCCUGUGAGGGUUGCUGGAGGUAUCAGAAGUGCGAAUGCUGACAUAAGUAACGAUAAAGCGGGUGAAAAGCCCGCUCGCCGGAAGACCAAGGGUUCCUGUCCAACGUUAAUCGGGGCAGGGUGAGUCGACCCCUAAGGCGAGGCCGAAAGGCGUAGUCGAUGGGAAACGGGUUAAUAUUCCCGUACUUGGUGUUACUGCGAAGGGGGGACGGAGAAGGCUAUGUUGGCCGGGCGACGGUUGUCCCGGUUUAAGCGUGUAGGUGUGUGUUCCAGGUAAAUCCGGUUCACUUUAACACUGAGGCGUGACGACGAGGCACUACGGUGCUGAAGCAACAAAUGCCCUGCUUCCAGGAAAAGCCUCUAAGCAUCAGGUAACAUCAAAUCGUACCCCAAACCGACACAGGUGGUCAGGUAGAGAAUACCAAGGCGCUUGAGAGAACUCGGGUGAAGGAACUAGGCAAAAUGGUGCCGUAACUUCGGGAGAAGGCACGCUGACACGUAGGUGAAGUGAUUUACUCAUGGAGCUGAAGUCAGUCGAAGAUACCAGCUGGCUGCAACUGUUUAUUAAAAACACAGCACUGUGCAAACACGAAAGUGGACGUAUACGGUGUGACGCCUGCCCGGUGCCGGAAGGUUAAUUGAUGGGGUCAGCGCAAGCGAAGCUCCUGAUCGAAGCCCCGGUAAACGGCGGCCGUAACUAUAACGGUCCUAAGGUAGCGAAAUUCCUUGUCGGGUAAGUUCCGACCUGCACGAAUGGCGUAAUGAUGGCCAGGCUGUCUCCACCCGAGACUCAGUGAAAUUGAACUCGCUGUGAAGAUGCAGUGUACCCGCGGCAAGACGGAAAGACCCCGUGAACCUUUACUAUAGCUUGACACUGAACAUUGAGCCUUGAUGUGUAGGAUAGGUGGGAGGCUUUGAAGCGUGGACGCCAGUCUGCGUGGAGCCGACCUUGAAAUACCACCCUUUAAUGUUUGAUGUUCUAACGUGGACCCGUAAUCCGGGUUGCGGACAGUGUCUGGUGGGUAGUUUGACUGGGGCGGUCUCCUCCUAAAGAGUAACGGAGGAGCACGAAGGUUGGCUAAUCCUGGUCGGACAUCAGGAGGUUAGUGCAAUGGCAUAAGCCAGCUUGACUGCGAGCGUGACGGCGCGAGCAGGUGCGAAAGCAGGUCAUAGUGAUCCGGUGGUUCUGAAUGGAAGGGCCAUCGCUCAACGGAUAAAAGGUACUCCGGGGAUAACAGGCUGAUACCGCCCAAGAGUUCAUAUCGACGGCGGUGUUUGGCACCUCGAUGUCGGCUCAUCACAUCCUGGGGCUGAAGUAGGUCCCAAGGGUAUGGCUGUUCGCCAUUUAAAGUGGUACGCGAGCUGGGUUUAGAACGUCGUGAGACAGUUCGGUCCCUAUCUGCCGUGGGCGCUGGAGAACUGAGGGGGGCUGCUCCUAGUACGAGAGGACCGGAGUGGACGCAUCACUGGUGUUCGGGUUGUCAUGCCAAUGGCACUGCCCGGUAGCUAAAUGCGGAAGAGAUAAGUGCUGAAAGCAUCUAAGCACGAAACUUGCCCCGAGAUGAGUUCUCCCUGAGACUUAGAGUCUCCUGAAGGAACGUUGAAGACGACGACGUUGAUAGGCCGGGUGUGUAAGCGCAGCGAUGCGUUGAGCUAACCGGUACUAAUGAACCGUGAGGCUUAACCUUACAACGCCGAAG
rnacentral:rRNA from 2 species